rnacentral:rRNA from 1 species
GCGGUGGAGUAUGUGGUUAAUCGAUGCAACGCGAAGAACCUUACCUGGUCUUGACAUCCCGGAGACCCUUAGGAAACUAGGGGGUGCUUCCAUCUGGAAGAAUCUGGAGACAGGUGCUGCAUGGCUGUCGUCAGCUCGUGUCGUGAGAUGUUGGGUUAAGUCCCGCAACGAGCGCAACCCUUGCCUUUAGUUGCCAGCAGUUCGGCUGGGCACUCUAAAGGGACUGCCGGUGUUAAACCGGAGGAAGGUGGGGAUGACGUCAAGUCCUCAUGGCCUUUAUGACCAGGGCUACACACGUACUACAAUGGCCGAUACAAAGGGCAGCGACACUGCGAGGUGAAGCCAAUCCCGUAAAAUCGGUCUCAGUCCGGAUUGGAGUCUGCAACUCGACUCCAUGAAGUUGGAAUCGCUAGUAAUCGUGGAUCAGCAUGCCACGGUGAAUACGUUCCCGGGCCUU